GUUUCAGGGCGGGGUGCAAUUCCCCACUGGCGGUAAAGUCCGCGACCAUCCGCAAGGGUGCUGACCCGGUGCAACUCCGGGACCAACGGUAUAGUCCGGAUGCAAGAAA
rnacentral:ncRNA from 1 species